rnacentral:rRNA from 1 species
CUAGUCUGGGAUACCACUUGGAAACAGGUGCUAAUACCGGAUAAGAAAGCGGAUCGCAUGAUCAGCUUUUAAAAGGCGGCGUAAGCUGUCGCUAUGGGAUGGCCCCGCGGUGCAUUAGCUAGUUGGUAAGGUAAAGGCUUACCAAGGCGAUGAUGCAUAGCCGAGUUGAGAGACUGAUCGGCCACAUUGGGACUGAGACACGGCCCAAACUCCUACGGGAGGCAGCAGCA